GGGGAAUCUUGCGCAAUGGGCGGAAGCCUGACGCAGCAACGCCGCGUGAACGAAGAAGGCCUUCGGGUUGUAAAGUUCUGUCAGGGGGGACGAAGAGUUGACGGUACCCCCAGAGGAAGCCCCGGCUAACUACGUGCCAGCAGCCGCGGUAACACGUAGGGGGCGAGCGUUGUCCGGAAUUACUGGGCGUAAAGGGCGUGUAGGCGGCCGAUCAAGUCAGGUGUGAAAAAUCAGGGCUUAACCCUGAUCGUGCACUUGAAACUGGUUGGCUUGAGUGCAGGAGAGGAAAGUGGAAUUCCCAGUGUAGCGGUGAAAUGCGUAGAUAUUGGGAGGAACACCAGUGGCGAAGGCGACUUUCUGGACUGCAACUGACGCUGAGGCGCGAAAGCUAGGGGAGCAAAC
rnacentral:rRNA from 1 species